UUGCUAGCAUUGGCAGCACAUAUACUAAAACUGGAACGAUACAGAGGGGAUUAGAAUGGCUCCCAUGCAAGGGUAAUACGCAAAUUAGUGAAGGCCAGUCCUGCUUA